AUGACAUAUCUGAUUGGCAAAUCUAAGAACAACGCGGCAUGCCGUCCUCUGCCCUUAUCCUUGGGAGCAGCCAUCUUGCUGAAGCCCUGGUUCUCCGCCAUUAGAGGGCCGCUCCUCAACAAGAUGGAAGAGGAUGCCCCAGUCACUGCCACCGAGACUGGAGUACUGAAUAUAAAUGAAGCUUCCGAAGGGCUUGGACUCAGUACAGAUUAAGCAUGUUCAAAAUACUCAGAGGAGCUUCCCCACCAUGUGCAAGAGGCAUAUCCCAGUGACUGCCACCAAGACUGGGUAGAUAAGCCUGUCUCCUUAUGAUGUUCACCGGAAACGAGUAACUUGGCUAAUAAACUUCAAGUCUUCCCUCA
rnacentral:lncRNA from 1 species